rnacentral:rRNA from 1 species
GACGAACGCUGGCGGCGUGCUUAACACAUGCAAGUCGAACGGUUAAGGGACCGGUUUUUGCUGGUUCUGGGUGAGUGGCGAACGGGUGAGUAACACGUGAGUAACCUGCUCCCUUCUUCUGUAUAACCGCAUGAAAGUAUGGCUAAUACGGGAUAUUCUGCGCCUGCUGCAUGCUUGGUGUGGGACAGUUUUUGUUUCGGUUGGGUAUGGGCUGGCGGCCUAUCAGCUUGGUGGUGGGGUGAUGGCCUACCAAGGCGGUGCCGGGUAGCCGGCCUGGGAGGGUGAGCGGUCAUGCUGGUACGACGACGCGGCGAAGACUACUACAGGAGGCAGCAGGGAGGAAUAUUGCACGAUGGGAGGAAGGCUGAUGCAGCGCCGCGUCGGGGGGGAUGGUGUCCUUCUGGUUGUAAACCUCUUUCGCCAGUGAAGCGGGGCUGGCCCUUUUGUGGGUGGGUUGACGGUAGCUGGAUAAGAAGCGCCGGCUAACUACGUG